rnacentral:rRNA from 1 species
UUCAGUGAAUCAUCGAAUCUUUGAACGCACAUUGCGCCCGCCAGUAUUCUGGCGGGCAUGCCUGUUCGAGCGUCAUUACAACCCUCAGGCCCCCGGGCCUGGCGUUGGGGAUCGGCGGAGGCCCUCCGUGGGCACACGCCGUCCCCCAAAUACAGUGGC